UAAGGAUUUUCUUGGAGAGAUUUGGCGUGACUCGUCACUGGUUUGUGGAGUUGGAGUUUCUCCUGGAGAACCUGGCUCUGGAACAGACAAAAACAGAAAGGCAUCAUCCCAUUUGAACUUUGAUACCAGCAGAAAACACAUAAAGGCGUUGGGUGGCUUCUUGACAUAUGGCUGGUCUGCAUCUCGGAUGCGCCGGCGCCGUCGUUUUCUUCUGGUGUACAAAAAUAAAACAACAAAGAACUCUGGUUACCGUUGUGCGAAACUGGGAGCAUCCCAGGAGGACACCAGUUGGAGUUUUCGGGAAGUGACCGUCCAGGUAGAGAGAGAUUCUGGUUGUGCGAAUGUACAGAAAGUUAGUCAUCAAAUGUCCACAAGGUGGCAGCAUGGUCCCCUUCAGUUCAGAUCAAAUAAGCUUUUUCCAGUGGAAUACUGUACCUCAAACAUUAUCGUUUUACAUAUUUUAAAACUAUCAAAAUGAAGAAUAAUGCACAUGUACACCGGAAAGAAAAUGGUGUGUUGAAUUUACUCAAUUUUAUUUCGAAAGUGGUUGCACAAAACAAAAUCAUCUGGCUCCAGAUACUUUUUAAGUAGAUGGACAGUCUACUCUUGUAUGUGGAUCGAUUUUUUUUCAUGCAACCACUUGGCAAAUUAAAAUGGAGUAAAUCCAACAAAACUAUUUUCAGUGUACAAACGACCUCUUGACUAACUGUUGCGAGACCCUUUACAUCCAGCUACAAACAUGUUCGUAUUUAUUAUGCACUCACCUGAGAGCCACCUGCCUG